rnacentral:rRNA from 1 species
GACGAACGCUGGCGGCGUGCCUAAUACAUGCAAGUAGAACGCUGAAGAGAGGAGCUUGCUCUUCUUGGAUGAGUUGCGAACGGGUGAGUAACGCGUAGGUAACCUGCCUUGUAGCGGGGGAUAACUAUUGGAAACGAUAGCUAAUACCGCAUAACAAUGGAUGACACAUGUCAUUUAUUUGAAAGGGGCAAUUGUUCCACUACAAGAUGGACCUGCGUUGUAUUAGCUAGUAGGUGAGGUAAUGGCUCACCUAGGCGACGAUACAUAGCCGACCUGAGAGGGUGAUCGGCCACACUGGGACUGAGACACGGCCCAGACUCCUACGGGAGGCAGCAGUAGGGAAUCUUCGGCAAUGGGGGCAACCCUGACCGAGCAACGCCGCGUGAGUGAAGAAGGUUUUCGGAUCGUAAAGCUCUGUUGUAAGUCAAGAACGGGUGUGAGAGUGGAAAGUUCACACUGUGACGGUAGCUUACCAGAAAGGGACGGCUAACUACGUGCCAGCAGCCGCGGUAAUACGUAGGUCCCGAGCGUUGUCCGGAUUUAUUGGGCGUAAAGCGAGCGCAGGCGGUUUGAUAAGUCUGAAGUUAAAGGCUGUGGCUCAACCAUAGUUCGCUUUGGAAACUGUCAAACUUGAGUGCAGAAGGGGAGAGUGGAAUUCCAUGUGUAGCGGUGAAAUGCGUAGAUAUAUGGAGGAACACCGGUGGCGAAAGCGGCUCUCUGGUCUGUAACUGACGCUGAGGCUCGAAAGCGUGGGGAGCGAACAGGAUUAGAUACCCUGGUAGUCCACGCCGUAAACGAUGAGUGCUAGGUGUUGGAUCCUUUCCGGGAUUCAGUGCCGCAGCUAACGCAUUAAGCACUCCGCCUGGGGAGUACGACCGCAAGGUUGAAACUCAAAGGAAUUGACGGGGGCCCGCACAAGCGGUGGAGCAUGUGGUUUAAUUCGAAGCAACGCGAAGAACCUUACCAGGUCUUGACAUCCCGAUGCUAUUUCUAGAGAUAGAAAGUUACUUCGGUACAUCGGUGACAGGUGGUGCAUGGUUGUCGUCAGCUCGUGUCGUGAGAUGUUGGGUUAAGUCCCGCAACGAGCGCAACCCCUAUUGUUAGUUGCCAUCAUUCAGUUGGGCACUCUAGCGAGACUGCCGGUAAUAAACCGGAGGAAGGUGGGGAUGACGUCAAAUCAUCAUGCCCCUUAUGACCUGGGCUACACACGUGCUACAAUGGUUGGUACAACGAGUUGCGAGUCGGUGACGGCGAGCUAAUCUCUUAAAGCCAAUCUCAGUUCGGAUUGUAGGCUGCAACUCGCCUACAUGAAGUCGGAAUCGCUAGUAAUCGCGGAUCAGCACGCCGCGGUGAAUACGUUCCCGGGCCUUGUACACACCGCCCGUCACACCACGAGAGUUUGUAACACCCGAAGUCGGUGAGGUAACCUUUUGGAGC